AAAAGAUGGUUCUGCUAUCACUCUUGGAUGGACCUGCGGUGCAUUAGCUAGUUGGUAAGGUAACGGCUUACCAAGGCAAUGAUGCAUAGCCGAGUUGAGAGACUGAUCGGCCACAUUGGGACUGAGACACGGCCCAAACCCCUACGGGAGGCAGCAGUAGGGAAUCUUCCACAAUGGACGCAAGUCUGAUGGAGCAACGCCGCGUGAGUGAAGAAGGGUUUCGGCUCGUAAAGCUCUGUUGGUAGUGAAGAAAGAUAGAGGUAGUAACUGGCCUUUAUUUGACGGUAAUUACCUAGAAAGUCACGGCUAACUACGUGCCAGCAGCCGCGGUAAUACGUAGGUGGCAAGCGUUGUCCGGAUUUAUUGGGCGUAAAGCGAGUGCAGGCGGUUCAAUAAGUCUGAUGUGAAAGCCUUCGGCUCAACCGGAGAAUUGCAUCAGAAACUGUUGAACUUGAGUGCAGAAGAGGAGAGUGGAACUCCAUGUGUAGCGGUGGAAUGCGUAGAUAUAUGGAAGAACACCAGUGGCGAAGGCGGCUCUCUGGUCUGCAACUGACGCUGAGGCUCGAAAGCAUGGGUAGCGAACAGGAUUAGAUACCCUGGUAGUCCAUGCCGUAAACGAUGAGUGCUAAGUGUUGGGAGGUUUCCGCCUCUCA
rnacentral:rRNA from 1 species